rnacentral:rRNA from 1 species
AUUGAACGCUGGCGGCAGGCCUAACACAUGCAAGUCGAGCGGGUGAAUGGAGCUUGCUGCUGGAUGCAGCGGCGGACGGUUGAGUAAUGCCUAGGAAUCUGCCUGGAAGUGGGGGAUAACGUCCGGAAACGGGCGCUAAUACCGCAUACGUCCUGUGGGAGAAAGUGGGGGAGCUUCGGACCUCACGCUAUCAUAUUAGCAUAGGUCGGACUAGCUAGUUGGUGGGGUAACUGCCUAACAAGGCGACGAUCCGUAACUGGUCUGAGAGGAUGACCAGUCACACUGGCACUGAGACACGGUCCAGACUCCUACGCGAGGACGCAGUGCAGACUCUUGCACGAUGCACCAAAGGCUGAUCCAGGCAUGCCGCGUGUGUCCAGAAGGUCUUCGGCUUGUUAAGCACUUUAAGUUGGGAGGAAGGGCAGUACGUUAAUACCUUGCUGUUUUGACGUUACCAACAGAAUAAGCACCGGCUAACUUCGUG